GCUACUUUUACUAAUAUCUACUUAGCCAUUUUUGUGUGUUGCACACCCAAGACCUUCUGCUUCAGGGGAUUAGUACUCAGCUGACCAUGCAGGGCAUCAGAACCCUAGCUGGUACAUCGGCAUAUGGCACUAUUUUGAUUCACAGCAGCUGAAGAUCCAGUCUGAAGAGGUCAUUGGAAAGAACUCUGAAGCAGAGUGGAGGAGGGCGGAUAGUGGAGCACCCAUAGGGGGACACAUCUCGAAGAACCACAGUUACUGCACAGGGUCGUUUCUCUCAAACCAACAACCAGCCACACCUUGAGCUGGAGAACCUGGAGAUUGGAGUGAUGGAUCUGCUCAGACUCCUGGGAGAGGAAAUGAGUAACAGGCUGGACCUUGGAUAUUAGAUGAAUCAGUGGAAAUGCAUACAAGAGACCUCUGUUCCAUUGGAGGAGAAAUGCAUCUCGGAGAGGGAAUUUCACCUUUGACUUCAGUAAGAAUAAGAUUGGGUAGUACCAAGGCCACACUGAAAUCUACAUACAAUAUAUGGCAAAAUGCCCACCUACCUUGCUCACAGGUUUAUUGUUUGAAGAUGGCUACAUUUUCAAAAACUGGCACAGUUCAUCCUGGCUGUCUUUGAUAGGCUGCAUGUGUCUUCUUUCGAAUGGACAUUCCUGUAGGGCUAUUUUGACAAUUGUAGUUUAGUUUCAAUUAUAAUGAGACUAUUACUGAAUUAAAGCACUGUAUUAGCUUUUGUAACAAUAGUUGUCUGAGGAAUACGAGGGCCUAUUAUAGUGCUGAACUAUUACAUCUUUGCUGAGAUGUAGAAAGAGGCCAUCACUUUUUGUGAAAAUUCCAACGUAUGUAUAUUUAUGACAGGCACACUGCAGAUUAAGACUACCAUUCAGCAAAGGACUGAAGCUUAUGUUUAACUUUAAGUACAUGCUGCAGUAUUUUGCUGAGUCAGGGCCUAAUGGAAUCACUGUGCAGUCCUUCUGGAUUUGCUCAAUACAAAAGACUACCUGAAGAUAACAUUAUAAAAGAGGACUGCGGAACAUAAAGCAGAAAAAUAUUUAGGAAAAGACACUAGACUGUAGAAAUAUAGGGUGUCCCUCAGAGAGUACAUACCAUUAGUUCAAAGAAUUUCUCAUCUGACUUUUCAAAGAUGCUGAGUACCUGAUGCUCCAAUUGACCUUAAUAGGAUUUGUGGAUGAUCAGCACUUCUGAAAUAAGGCCACUGAUUUUUAUUAGGAGAACCUUGGUGUAUAAGCUUUCCAGUAAAAUCACAGCCUUACCCUUUGGCAUAACAGCUAACUUGUACCAAAUGAAGUUAAUUUGGAAUGACAGUAAUAGAUGAAGAUUCUCCACAUUCUGAAAAAGGAAUAGAAUUGUGUUGCAGGUGGAGGCUAUUCUUUAAAUGAAGGGGGAAAAGCCAAAAGCUUGCUAUAAACAUAGGAAUAGAAUGUUUUAAGAAUACUGCAUGAAAUAAAAUGAGAUUUUGACUGAGUUGCACUGUGGUAGGGGAAGAAAAGAUGUUGGUAAUAGAGUGAAUUAGUUUGUAUGCAUCAUACUGUUGUCAUAAGUAAAAUGAGGAUGUGGAGGUUUCAGCAUGGUUUGCGGGGGCACAACAAGGUUUCGGCUGUUUCUAUGAUAGUACCUAGUUACAAUAUACCGGUGUGGUUAGCAUGAAGCAUGUAGACUGCAGAGACACAACAUUAUUUGCUUAAAGCUGAUGAGCUUUGUAUGUCACAUGUAGAUGCUUUGAUCUGCUACCACCAGUCUACAACUUUCCUUUCAAAUUUGGAUUGCCUAAAAUCAGCUAAGAAACAAGAAGGGUCAGUGUUGUUAUCAAGAAAGUCUAAAAUAUAUGGAAAUAUGUUUAUUAAGUCAUCAUGACAGACUGAUGCAGACUGUUACAGAUGUCUUGUAAGGCUCUAGUCUAAAAUAUUGACAAUUUCUGCUGGAUACACUGGCCAUGUGUAUUUACUUUUUGAUACAUAACUGCUUUACACUUCAAGCAAACCACUUCCCAAACCUUAAAGAGAACAUUCUAAUCACUGUUGGCAAAUAGUGAGCUUCAGUUAGUACUACAAAAUGUCUAGGGUAUAUGGCCAAAAUGCAAUAAAGAUAUAUAUAUCAAAAUUAGAGAGUAUUCUAUGCAGAGAGAAAUUCCUUAACAGACGUCAUAGACUUGUUACUCUGUGUUGAUAAAAUAGCCCUGAUUCAGCGAAGCACUUAAGCAUGAGCUUAAUUUUUAAGUUUAUUAGUAGCCCUUUAGUGUUAAACUCAUGCUUAAAUACUUUGCUGAAUCAGGCCAGAGUGAGGAAGUUUUGAUGGUCACCAGGGCAUUACCAAAUGCAGAAAACAUGCCAAAAUGACAGUGUGUUAGCCAGGUAUAAGUAGACAGUCAGAAAGCGGAUACUACCUCUGCAUGCUGCCAGGUUAAUAAACCAAUACAAAAGAAGGGCACUUUUACGUGUCAUGUCCUGAAAGUGUAAGUUUAUUGAUCUGUGUGAGCUAGACAGUCACAAGUACCUAGCUGCUACAGCCAUUAGUCAGAAUGCUUACAAAUGUGCAUAUGCCACAGGAAUGAGCAUCAUUGGAAAGUUAAAGAAUAUAUUUGCUCAUUGGGGAAUUCCAGAGAAACUAGUUACAGACAAUGGUCUACAAUUUACAGAUACAAAUUUCAUGAAAAAAUACAGUUCCCUUCCUAUUACUAUUAGCUCUCAUUACCCUUAAGAGAAUGGAAAAGCUGAAAGAGUUAGAUAGCUAAAGAAAUUUUUGUCAGGGAAAGGCAUUCUUAGCUUAAUUAAUUUACAGAGCAAUGCUGAAUGCAACGACUAAAUUCAAUUCAGCUCUAUUGACACUCAAUAGACAAAUAAACAUUGUAUAUAGGUCCCACCUUGAAGAAUUUGCAUCCUACAUGGUGAAAGUUUAAAACGUGCUGAUACGAGAACAAUAAGAAAAUAUAAAAGUAAUCUUGACAAGCACAAUUCUAUGAGAACUUUUCCAAAACUUCAACCAGGAGAUGCAGUAAAAGUCAAACUGUAUGGAGAAAAAGGUUGGACAACUUCUGCAGAGAUGAAAGAGAAGAAAGUUUCACCAAGAUCUUAUUUGGUACUAACAAAGAGUAUGUUAUGCAGCAAGUAUAUGUUGCUCUGUGCUGUAUAGGAGGCCAGAUAGAGCACCAUCCCAGGUAAACAAAGCCGGAACCUGAGUUGUCUAGAAGAUUGUCCUUUUGUAUCUGUAAUAUAUAGUUUUAUUUAAUAAAUGACUCCCUUCAAGAACUUUGAUUCAAUGAUUCCAUGUAGCAUGACAAUUAUUUGAAAGUUCACUGAGAAAUUUUACUAUAGCUCACACUGUGUUCUUCCACUUGAACAUGAGCUUGGAAAUAUUCUAACAGAUUGUAAUUAGAAUUUAUCUAGAAAUGGUAUGUUAAAAAUUGAAAGGUUAGAAAACAAGAGUUAAAUAUCUCUGCUAAUACCAAUAAGUAUUACAAUUUCAUAUACAUUAUGGCUUUUCAGUAGUUUGUCCUUAUUUAAUUGAGAGAAAAUUCUGUUUUCAUUUAUAUUAUUAGUUUAUUAACUAGCAAUUGUGAGAUGCUGUAUACAAUUAACAAAUAUCAAUGUUUGUGUUCCAUCAAUAUUAACAAAAGAUGAUUUUGCACAUAGGACUGGCAAAUAGUCUAUUCCUAUAAAAUUAUUAAAGAACAUAUUACUAGUCAACAACUAAAAACCAACUUCAUUUUAUUUAGAAGUGUUAUCAGAAUAUUUUAUCUAAAAUAACCAAACUUCUUUAAUCAAAUACACUUUUAUUUAAAGCAGAGUAUAGAUAGCAUGUAAGAUACUUAAUUAUUAUAGGACUUGACCUGCAAUCCUUACUCACAUCAGUAGACCACAAGUUCUAAUUCCUACAAAAACUUCCCUUACUGCUUAAUUUUUUCAUAUUUUAACAUCUUUAUAUAUUUCUCCAUCAGUUGAUUGUGUCUGUUCAUCUCUUUGUAGAAUCACUUUAAUAUCCUACACACAAGAAUAUUGAAAACAAAGUUAAAAGGACGUGUCAGAUAACUUUUAGGUCACAAUUAAAACUGUCAUAAAUUACUAAGUAACAAUCUCUGCCUUUCCAGAAGCUGACUAUCCUAUUAAUGAGCAGGAGAUGUAGGUGUAUAACUUGUAUUUUAAUUGGGAUUUAUUCAUGUAAGUCACUCUUUCCAUAUAUCAAAUAAGAUACUCAACAUAUUCUAUUUAAGAAAACAUUGGCACUGUCCCUGGGCUCAAUAGAAGGCUCAAUGGAAUAUUUUGUAAAGAAAAUUACAGCUUUUUAUAUCAUUUGUAUAAGGCCAAUAUCACAGUUCCAUACUACUGUAACAUGAUAUUAUCAGACCAAACAAUUACAGGUUAACUUGUCAUGAAUUAAAGAAUAAUGGUCUACUAUAGGCAUUAAAUAUUUGUAUUACAGAAUAAACCAAUCACUUCUUUUCCAUUAUGGAAUUGUUAUAUGUAUUGUUCCAAAGAAAUCAGUAUAUGGUGUGGUGCUUCAAGCAUGUGAUGGGGAUGUCAAGGAUGGAUUUUAAGUAACCAUAUCCAGGAAAUUCAGUGUUAAGGCUUAAAUCUACCUUCUUAUCUAGGCAUUGGAGGGUUCUUGAAUCAGUGUGUGUUUUGUACUACAAAUGCUACAAUACCCAGAGAAGAGCUAAGGAAAUGGUGGCUGACUCAGAACCUUUCCUUUUGCUGGUUCAGUUUUGACAGUUAAUCUUUGUGAAAAGACUCUUUCUUCCUUAUUCUAUGUAAUAUGUAAAUAAAACAAUAAAAGAAAGUACCAUGUUGAUGCCA